GAAGUGCUGUGAGUUUCGCAGCUGCAAAAAGGUUGAAGAGAGGGUAGGGAGGCCAGCAAAGGUCUUCCCCUCCAGACCUGCACAGCUGGCCAUAUACAUGAAGAAAUUAAAUCACCACAGAGCAGCAGUGGUAGCCUUGGCAGGAGGCACAGGACAGCGGGCAGGGUACCAUGGGGACAUCUGACUUAUUGUAAGUGCUGUCUU
rnacentral:lncRNA from 1 species